UUGCCAGAUUCCUUUUAGCGGGAAUUUUAAAAUUUUAUAGCAGUUUGGUUUUAAAUUUGACAGUUCUGUUUUCUCAAGUCAAAAAUCUUAACCUUACUUUUACAAGUGAUUAGGAUUAUUAUUAUUAUUUUAUUUACAUGUAAAUUGAAACAAUAAAUAUUGUGCUGUGUCAUAAUUUCAAACUCAUUAUGUUGCAGUCUUUUCCAGUUGAUAAAAUUGCAAUUCAAAAACUUUUAGAUUUGCACAGGAAGAGAACAAGAGUACAAGAACAUGAAACAUCUUAUUAUGAAUGUAUAUGUAUGUGAUCCUCAAAAAAUUAUUUUACAAAACAAGAUAGAGAAAGAGCUUUAAAAUCCCAAGGAUCCUGCAAAAUGUUUAUUUGGUGUACUAGUCGAAUAAUAGUAACUAAAAAUAUUGAAACUAUUUUAAAACACAUUAUGGGCAUGAGGAUGAUAUAGAGCACUUACAUAAAUACCAAAAUCAGAUAAAUAUCUCUUCAAAGUUUAUUUUGAGACUUUCUUCAAAAAUUAAACUUCAGACUGUUAAGGAUAGCAUAAUAGCAUAGGAGGCGAAUUAAAAAGAAUUGAUUUACUUACAAGAAAAGAUAUCACAAACAUUAAACUCUAUUAUGGCAUUGAUUUGAAAGAUGGGUAUAUGUACAAUGAUGAUGCAACCAGUGUUUAUUUUUGGGUUGAAUGCUUACAGACUCAUGUCCAAUAUUAUUUUACAAACAACAGGGCAUACUAAUGGAUAUUCAUUCUGAAUUUAACAUUUAUGAUUGUUGUCUUAUUUUCCUUAAUACUGUGUCAAAAGGAAAUGUUAAUUAAGUUUGGUAAAUCCUUUAUCGCAAUCGAUGGAACUCAUGGGCUCAAUUCCUAUGACUUUGAACUUAUGACAGUAUUAGUAAAAGAUGAAUUUGGGAAUGGAUUUUGUACUGCUUUCUUAUUUUCAAAUAGAAAAGAUACCUACUUUAA